rnacentral:rRNA from 1 species
UGCCAGCAGCCGCGGUAAUACGGAGGGUGCAAACGUUGCUCGGAAUCAUUGGGCGUAAAGCGCGUGUAGGCGGCAUGUUAAGUCGGGUGUGAAAGCCCUGGGCUCAACCCAGGAAGUGCAUCCGAUACUGGCAAGCUAGAGUACGGGAGAGGGUAGCGGAAUUCCCGGUGUAGAGGUGAAAUUCGUAGAUAUCGGGAGGAACACCAGUGGCGAAGGCGGCUAUCUGGACCGAUACUGACGCUGAGACGCGAAAGCGUGGGUAGCAAACAGGAUUAGAUA